CCACCCCAAUGAAUGCUCCUUGUCUGUCUUGUAACUUUAAGAGCUGUUGCUAUAGGCAAUUUUUUCAUUAAAAAAGGAGUUACUCAUUAGCUAUGGUGAAGAUAUUUCGAACAAUUUCAAAGACUCUAGUGCGAUAUGAUAUCUACUCAUAUUUUUAUGAAUUCCUCUCAAGUGUCUGAUAAUUAUCGUUGAUUUAGACUGAUCAUGUGGAGCGUUGUUACUUUUCAAUGUGAUGGUUUCAUCCGAAUUAUCUGCAAAAAAUGGCUGGUGGAUUCUUCCUCAGACCUAGAUUCUCCGCUUUGUCAAUACCCUGAUAAUGUAGACAAUCAAAAACUCCACAAUCUUCUACUUGCGAACGAUACACCAGAUCCUGCUUGGCCUCUAUUUGAUGUUGAUAUCCUCAAAGACAAUAUAGGAAGUCUUCUUGCUGCCCGGCAAAUCGCUAAGAAAGCUGAAGAUGAGGAUGAGCAACUUUCACUCACAGAGCCGAAAAAUUUAGGCCGUGGCCGAAGGAAACGGAAACCGUGUCAAAGAAUUUUUUCAUCGAGUGAAGAUGAUGGUGAAGAUGAUAUUCCUCGCGCAAGAAAACCGAAAACCAAGAAACUUCAACCGCUUGAACAGGGGCGUUCAUUGCUGAAUUUUGAAACUCUCAAUUGGCCAAACAGCUGUGUCGACAAGGGUGGAGAAAUUCCUUUCAAACCUUCUCAAAUUGACAAUGUCUUAAGCAGUAUUAAUACUGAUAAUAGUUUCGUAAGAAAAGAACGAAAUCCUAGAAAAGCUACAAAAAGCCCAAGGAACGUUCCAAGUUUUGCAACCUCGACCCAAAAACAUGGUGCUGAUAAGGCCUUAUCAGGGAAGGAGAAUUGUUCCGCAGGUGUUAACAGCCAAAGAAACGUUCCAAGUUUUGCAACCUCGACCCAAAAACAUGGUGCUGGUGAGGCCGUAUCACGGAAAGAGAAUUGUUCCGCAGGUGUUAACAGCCAAAGAAACGUUCCAAGUUUUGCAACCUCGACCCAAAAACAUGGUGCUGGUAAGGCCUUAUCAGGGAAAGAGAAUUGUUCCGCAGGUGUUAACAGCCAAAGAAACGUUCCAAGUUUUGCAACCUCGACCCAAAAACAUGGUGCUGGUGAGGCCGUAUCACGGAAAGAGAAUUGUUCCGCAGGUGUUAACAGCCAAAGAAACGUUCCAAGUUUUGCAACCUCGACCCAAAAACAUGGUGCUGGUAAGGCCUUAUCAGGGAAGGAGAAUUGUUCCGCAGGUGUUAACAGCCAAAGAAACGUUCCAAGUUUUGCAACCUCGACCCAAAAACAUGGUGCUGGUAAGGCCUUAUCAGGGAAGGAGAAUUGUUCCGCAGGUGUUAACAGCCAAAGAAACGUUCCAAGUUUUGCAACCUCGACCCAAAAACAUGGUGCUGGUGAGGCCGUAUCACGGAAAGAGAAUUGUUCCGCAGGUGUUAACAGCCAAAGAAACGUUCCAAGUUUUGCAACCUCGACCCAAAAACAUGGUGCUGGUAAGGCCUUAUCAGGGAAGGAGAAUUGUUCCGCAGGUGUUAACAGCCAAAGAAACGUUCCAAGUUUUGCAACCUCGACCCAAAAACAUGGUGCUGGUGAGGCCGUAUCACGGAAAGAGAAUUGUUCCGCAGGUGUUAACAGCCAAAGAAACGUUCCAAGUUUUGCAACCUCGACUCAAAAACAUGGUGCUAGCGGCGUCUUAUUCAAGGAA
rnacentral:lncRNA from 1 species